rnacentral:misc_RNA from 1 species
UACGUAGGGUGCAAGCGUUGUCCGGAUUCACUGGGUUUAAAGGGUGCGCAGGCGGCGGCGUAAGUCCGGGAUGAAAUGGGGGGGCUCAACCCCCUCGCUGUCCCGGAUACUGCGGCGCUAGAGUCACAAUGAGGUAACUGGAAUAGACGGUGUAGCGGUGAAAUGCGUAGAGAUCGUCUGGAACGCCAAUUGCGAAGGCGGGUUACUGGUUGUGCACUGACGCUCAGGCACGAAAGCGCGGGUAGCGAACAGG